UCGGACGUGGUGCAUGGCGCACACCCGCUUUUCGUGUGUCGUAAAUAAAGUGAACAAAAAAUUAAAGCGGGAGGCCUGGGUUCGAUUCCCAGCGUCCGAA